GUGCAGCAGGCGAGAAUUUUUCUCAAUGGGGGAAACCCUGAAGGAGCGGCGCCGCGUGGAGGAUGAAGGUCUUCGGAUUGUAAACUCCUGUCAUUUGGGAACAAGUUGCAUCGGUUAACUGCCGAUGCAUUGAUAGUACCAGAAGAGGAAGAGACGGCUAACUCUGUGCCAGCAGCCGCGGUAAUACAGAGGUCUCAAGCGUUGUUCGGAUUCAUUGGGCGUAAAGGGUGCGUAGGUGGCGGGGUAAGUCUGGUGUGAAAUCUCGGGGCUCAACCCCGAAACUGCACUGGAUACUGCCUUGCUCGAGUACUGGAGAGGAGAUUGGAAUUUACGGUGUAGCAAUGAAAUGCGUAGAUAUCGUAAGGAAGACCAGUGGCGAAGGCGAGUCUCUGGACAGUUACUGACACUGAGGCACGAAGGCCAGGGGAGCAAACGGGAUUAGAUACCCGCGUAGU
rnacentral:rRNA from 1 species